GACGAACGCUGGCGGCGUGCUUAACACAUGCAAGUCGAACGGAAAGGCCCUGCUUGCAGGGUGCUCGAGUGGCGAACGGGUGAGUAACACGUGGGUGAUCUGCCCCUUACUUUGGGAUAAGCCUUGGAAACUGGGUCUAAUACUGGAUAGGACCAUGCUGUAGGUGGUGUGGUGGAAAGAUUAGUUUCGGUAAGGGAUGAGCUCGCGGCCUAUCAGCUUGUUGGUGGGGUAAUGGCCUACCAAGGCGUCGACGGGUAGCCGGCCUGAGAGGGUGGACGGCCACAUUGGGACUGAGAUACGGCCCAGACUCCUACGGGGGGCAGCAGUGGGGAAUAUUGCACAAUGGGCGCAAGCCUGAUGCAGCGACGCCGCGGGGGGGAUGACGGCCUUCGGGUUGUAAACUCCUUUCAGCCAUGACGAAGCCCUUGUGGUGACGGUAGUGGUAGAAGAAGCACCGGCUAACUACGUG
rnacentral:rRNA from 1 species